UGGCCUACGGGAGGCAGCAGUGGGGAAUAUUGCACAAUGGGGGAAACCCUGAUGCAGCAACGCCGCGUGAGCGAAGAAGGCCUUCGGGUCGUAAAGCUCUGUCCUAAGGGAAGAUAAUGACGGUACCUUAGGAGGAAGCCCCGGCUAACUACGUGCCAGCAGCCGCGGUA
rnacentral:rRNA from 1 species